rnacentral:rRNA from 1 species
ACAGCAGCAGCCGCGGUAAUACGUAGGGAGCGAGCGUUGUCCGGAUUUAUUGGGCGUAAAGAGCUCGUAGGCGGCUUGGUAAGUCGGAUGUGAAACCUCCACGCUCAACGUGGUGACGCCAUCCGAUACUGCUAUGGCUUGAGUCCGGUAGGGGCCCACGGAAUUCCUGGUGUAGCGGUGAAAUGCGCAGAUAUCAGGAGGAACACCGGUGGCGAAGGCGGUGGGCUGGGCCGGUACUGACGCUGAGGAGCGAAAGCGUGGGGAGCGAACAGGAUUAGAUACCCCUGUAGUCCCUGUCUCUUAUA